AUACGUAGGGAGCGAGCGUUGUCCGGAAUUACUGGGUGUAAAGGGAGCGUAGGCGGGAGUGCAAGUCAGAUGUGAAAUACAUGGGCUCAACCCAUGGGCUGCAUUUGAAACUGCAUUUCUUGAGUGAAGGAGAGGUAAGCGGAAUUCCUGGUGUAGCGGUGAAAUGCGUAGAUAUCAGGAGGAACACCGGUGGCGAAGGCGGCUUACUGGGCUUUUACUGACGCUGAGGCUCGAAAGCGUGGGGAGCAAACAGGAUUAGAUACCCUGGUAGUCCACGCUGUAAACGAUGAUUACUAGGUGUGGGGGGACUGACCCCUUCCGUGCCGCAGUUAACACAAUAAGUAUUCCGCCUGGGGAGUACGGCCGCAAGGUUGAAACUCAAAUGAAUUGGCGGGG
rnacentral:rRNA from 1 species